CCAGCAGUGGGAAGAAAACAACUGGCAGCGGAGGGGUAAACCUCUUUGGGCUGCUGAGCUGUGUGCUGAACCAUAAGGAAGGUGGCUGUAAAGGUGUGCCGUGCAGAUGUCGUGUGCCCAGCAGUCGGGCCGAUGAAGAGCAACAAAUGAAGCGCCAGGUGGGUCGAGCUGCCACAAUUCUAUUUCUAUUUGCCCUUGCUUUGCUUUGCUCUGCUCUUUUGUUCUUCCUUUUCACCUCUGCUUCACAUUGCUCUGCGUUGCUUUCUGGCUUUCUUUGCUUUGCUUGAUUUCCGACUCUGCUUCUUCUCUCUUCUUCCCGUUGCUUUCGUGUUUCCUCUUUUUCAGUUGGCUUUUAAUUUG
ensembl:lncRNA